AACGCACGAGACCUGCGGACCUGCGGAGGGAUCAUUAGUGAAGUUUGGGUGUCUCGUCAGAGAGCCCGUCUUUUUCCACCUUUUCAACCCUGUGCACUUGUCGUCAGUGCGGGUCUCUCUCCUCCUUUGACCCGCCUGAUUAGGAGCCUUUUCAUUUAUUUGAAAAGAAAAAAAAUCAAAUUUUUUUAAACGCAAGUGAAUGAAUGUAAAACCGUGAUGGUGUAAUAACCAAGAACCAAA
rnacentral:misc_RNA from 1 species